rnacentral:lncRNA from 1 species
GCCGGACACGAAUUAGUGGUGUUACACCUAUAUUGUAUAUAUCGGAUUAGUAAUAAUCAAUAUUUUUUAUUAUAAUUUGUUCAAACUUGUAUAAUUGUAUGUAGUUAUGAUUGCAGUAUUGAAAAAAAAAACUAGUUGAAUAUUGGAUCAAUGAAAAUUAACUAUAGUAUUGUGAACAUUAUUUAACAUUAUUUUCCAUACUUGUAUAAGUAGUAUCUAUUGUAUUAUGAAUAUCAUUUUCAACCUUGAAUCAGUAAAACUCAUCAUAUUUAAAAACCUUUUGUUCAGACAUACAAUCAUGGUACUGAUUUUUUUUAAUCUAAUUAUUAAAUUAUAUGUGAAAUGGAUAAACUUAUAACGUUGUGGAGUAUAUGUCAAUCAGAAAGUGAUCCAAUCAUGUUAAUCUUUAAAAAAAAAAAGAGCUUAUUUUCCGUAAAUAAAAUAUAUUUAUAAUCCAUUGCAAUAUCUAUUAUAUCUAUCAAAUAGUAUUAGUUACAUAGUGUGCUAGUGACCUAAUACGGUAUAUAUGGGGCCAGUAAACUCCAUAUGGAGUGAGAGCGAUGCUCGCAUCUCCAUAUGGAAUUUACUGACCCCAUAUACCGUAUUACGUCUCUAGCACACUAUGUAACGAAUUAAUCUUACCGACUUUCUUAAAGUGUAAAAUUUAGACUAGUGACCUAUCAAAAUGAGCAAGUCUUCAAUACUGUUAGCCUUAAGAAACUAUUUCCAUUGAUCACUCAAAAACAGAUGCCGACAAUAACGUCUUGUUAAGUUAAAAUCUGUUUUAUAAAUUUAUUUCAAUCUUAAUCAUCAAUUUCGUCGUCUGUUAAAACCUUUACGAUUUUUUCUCAGUAGCGUUUUGUUUUUAUAAUGGAACGUAACACCACUACUAACCGUGUAUGAAAUAAGCCCGCCUCCCUUCUACCUAAUAUGAAAUAUACACGGUCUCCACGCGGACGCUUUCAACCUAUGAUAUAUUCCUUAAAAUGUAUAGGAGGUAAGAUCAAUAUAUCUUCUUGUACAGAAAAAUUCAAAAUAUGUACAUGGCUAUUGAAAAUAUGAUGACCACUUAAUUAAAACUCAUAUGAUCCAUAUUCACAAUAAGUAUCUUCAUAUGAUUAAAUUUUUAGUAGCUUUAGACAUAAUUGAAUUUUAACAAAGAAAGGAGACUUAGAGAACUAGAAAUAUCAUAGUCCCUUUUAUCAAAGGAAUUUAUAUCUUGUGAUACGCUUUCAUACUUUCACACUUGUUCAUAUAUAAGAAUAAACUUCAUACAAAGGAGUAGGUCCAGUAAGACCCCUUUUUGCCCCAAAUAUAGCAGUUUUACAAAAUUGUUAAAAUGUAAACUUUUAGUUAUUUAUUGGACAGUAGAAUGCUUCUGCUACAUAAAUAUGGGCUGUUUUUGACAAUACAAUGCACAAAUAUCGGGUACAAGUACCAUUAAGUCAGGCUAAAUUACUGAAAUAAUCACAAUUCUAGCAUUUUAGGCAAAUUUUACACGGUUUCCGUGUAAAACGAAAGUGGCCGCAUUCGUGUUCAUCCUUAAUAUUAAAAUGUAAGUUGUAUUUGAUGAUAAUUCAUAACAUAUUUAAAGGUUGAGGAUGAACACGGAUGCGGCCACUUUCAUUUUUCACAAAAACCAUCCGAAAAGUGACAUUUUUCGGCAUAUUUGUUAGAUGUUUUCAUAUUUGAGCUUGAAUCAAAUCAUUUUUAAUGCCUAAUCAGUUAAAAUCUUUCUAAUAAACUAAUUCAAUCAAAUGAAAUAGACACUUAAGUGUUUAAAAAGUGGUCAAAAUCUUUUGUCAGAUGAUCCUGAAAUUUGAGGCCAAAAUCAGUCCUUACCGGACCUACUCCUUUAUAAACUGGCGUUUUUUUUCAACUCAAACUGAUCUGACCAUUUAAUUAAACUUGGAAACCAUAUCAGGGAUAUCUAUAUAUUUAGAGCCCCGGGUUAUUAAACGUUAAUA